UGUAUCUGCAUGUGUGUCAGGGUGUGUAUCUGUGUGUCACACAGAUGCACACCCUGACACACAUGCAGAUACACA